rnacentral:lncRNA from 1 species
GGGAAGGAAACACGGCAGAGAAAAGAGAGAGAGAAAAAAAAUGCAGCAGCUUUCCCUUGCUGCAAUUCUUUGAGGCGUCUCGUUUCCAACUAAAAUGUCAAUGAACAUUAACCUUUGAAUCAAACCAAAUGCAGUUAGCUCAAAACAAUAAACCCCCUCCUGAUCUACUCAUUUUACAAUGCUAAAAAAAACAAUCAAAACAAAGGGAGCCUGUGAAGUAACGAAACAGAAUUUUCUGAUGCAACAUUCAUUCCAGAACUACUUUUCCUUUUCAACAUAAAGCUUCCAAAUGCAGGUUUCAUGUAAACUUCAAACAAAACCAGCAAAGACUAACACUUAACAUCAUUUAACAUCUGGACACUUUGAUUAACACAACACAACUGAACAUGCAACAAAAGGAACAGCAAACACCGAACCAGCCACCAGUUCGCUUCCCAAAUUAUUUUUACCAAUAGUUUCUGCAACAAAAGCUGAAUAUUUUCGACAUUGUUGCAGCAACUUCAUGUACAAACAAUUUUAAAUAAGCUAUCUAAAGUCAGACAACAAAACCUCAAACAAUCCUUCCCAUUUUUGCCGACAUGAAACCUCGACAUACACAUGGGAAUUUUCUGCUACAUAUGAACUCAGAUGCCCUCUCGAAUGAACUAGCCAUGGAAAUGUCAUUUUUCUGUUUAAAGCUAACAUCUUGCCACUAAUCACAGCCUAAUAACAAAGCCUAAUAACAGUAUCAAACAAAUCCUAAGCAUUAACGAGUGAAAAUGCAUACAAACAGCAAAAGAUCCUAAUUUUGGGCUAUGGUCAUACACUAGUGCAAGGGAAACAACCAUCUCGAUUCUGGACAUAGGCUCAAAUCGAAUGAUAACUCACACACACAACCAUACAAUACCAAACAAACCCAUGAUUCAUCAAAGUUUCAUGUUUUUCAUUAAUAAAAAUUUCCUACGGAAAAGGGCUGAAAAGAAACCUUACAGUGGUUUUGCCGGAAGAGAUAUACCCUGGCGAAACUUCUCUCCUUUGUUGGAUUUGACUUGAAUUCACCGAACUCUUGCUUGGCUGCAACUCCCUUGCGUUUGGUUUCUUCUUGUCCUGUUGCCUUUGUUUUCUCUUCCCCAGAAAACUCUCAAUAAACUCUCUGUUUCUCGGCCCUCCCAACUCUUCCUCUUGCUCUCUCUCACUUAGGAUCUUUUUUCCGUCACUCUUCCCUCCUUUCUUUCUCUGGUUCCUUUCCCUUUCUCAUUCUCUCUAGCCGUUAACCUCUUCAGCCGUCACUAGCCUCAGAUUUUUCUCCUUUGCCGUCCGUUUUUCUCCCCUCGUCACUCUUAACUCUCUUUUGCCGUGGCUCUUUUUCUGGUUCUUUCCCUUGCUGUUUUCCUUCCCUUUUCGAUCUUCCCCCCCUGUUUCUUUCUCUCCCUAGUUUGCUCAAUUUUUUCUCCACCUCCUUGCCCGAUCAUUCUCUCUCUUUUGUUGCUUGCUAAAACCUAGCCGUCAUCCUUGAUUCUCUCUCUUUGUGUCUUUCUUU